GCCAGGGAGGCUGGGCUGAGGAGGGCCACACCGGGCUGCAGGCAGCGCUGGCUGCCUGGUCUCUGCUUGGAGAGCUGGAGAAGUGGCAGCUUGUGUUCAGCAAAAGCUCCCUGGGUGUCAGAGGGUACCAAGUGUGAGAGACACCCCCACUGGAGAACACUGUCCUGUCCAGACCACAGGGAGAGGUCCUCAUGUUGAUGCUUAGCUCAAGAGCUAGCUUGGGAGAGCCGGGGAGAUGGGUAGAGGAUGGGCAGAUCUCCAGAGCUAGAGACUACGGUGCACAAAGCGUCCCUAACCUCAUUUCUCUUGAAAACAGAAGCUUCUAAAGGGGGAUGUGUAGGCUGGCCGUGCUAGUGCUGCCGAACUCACACCGAACUCCGAACACCGUCUUGGCCCAUGCCUACCCUCCCUUGACUUUCUCCAUGGCCAGGUGACUCGUGGCUUAAGCGAACUGACUUGGGGAUUCUUUGGGAAUCACUUUGCACCCUGGAGGCCCCUUUCCUGCUAUCUCAACCUGUUUCACUGCCAUUCCUAAUCCUAGUCAAAUCUGGACCCCUCCGGAAGUGGGGCCCAAUUAUACUCCAGAGCAAUCACACCUCUGGGGUCUGGCUUGGACGUUUUUUUUGUUUUUGUUUUUUCCAGAGCAGCCUGUGCAGCGUCACAUUUGAGGGUCAGACAGACUGUUCCAUGACCUAAUGCCUCUACUGUAAAGAAUGUGUCCCCUGAGAAUCGCAGCCACCAGAAGAAAGUGACACAUUCCAAGUAACCCAGAGGAAAAUGGGUAACACUGGUUUGGCAAAGGAAUUUGAAGAGCGGCACUCAUGGUUGGAGCUGUCUCAGCACAGCAAAACAAGAAGACAUGUAAAAGGAUAAUAGUGGAGGAAACCAGCCACCCUCUCCAACGUUCUGAUUGCUUACAAACAGGGGAAGAACUUCAAAUAUCUACCCAGUGUCUUCCUUUUGACCUUUGGAAGGAAAGCAAGAGCUUCGAAAGGAACUCCCACGACACCUGCUUCUCCUCAUGGAGCAUGAGGGUUUUCCCCAUCUCUUUCCCUAAAAGCCACAGAUACAAGUCCAGCAACUCCUCGUGCAAAGCAGCCAGGAGCAGCUCAGCCCUGAAAAAAACAGAAUGUACAACGAAGGGUGGACCGGUCGGGCGCCCCACUCCGGGGGCAGGCUCCGCAGCCAGCGAUCGGAAUGGAUUUAGGAUCGAGAAGAUCCGCAAAGGCGAGCGUCCACCGGGGCUGGAGACGGCCGAGUGCGGGCGUGCGGCCUUUCUUCCCCGGCGGGCGGAAACCUCCUUUCCACGGUGGCAACAACUCCUGGAAAACAGAAAAUCGCGCGAGCAGGAGAGCGGCGGCGCCUGCCUGCGGCCCGGGCGCGCGGAGAGCUCCCUCUCCGGGACCCCGGGCGCGUCGCGCUUGCAGGCUCCAGGCGGGGUGGGGGCCCGCGCGCGCCGGCCUGCUCCGCGAGCCAGAGGGAAGGGCCGCCCCGCAGCACCCCGGAAGGGCCUGGAGGCGUCUCGGGCCAGCGGCCAGCGCAGGCCUCCGCUCCCGGGGACAGCGGUCGCCGCGGCCGAGGCGGGGGUGGGGCGCCCCGCGCUGCAGCCUCCCGUCGUGCGCGGGCCCCGCGGAGCUGGCCGAGGGGCGGGAGCCGGCGGUGCGCGCGGGGGAGGCGGGGGCGGCGGG
rnacentral:lncRNA from 1 species